rnacentral:rRNA from 1 species
CACGAACGCUGGCGGCAGGUUUAACACAUGCAAGUCGAGCGCCCCGCAAGGGGAGCGGCAGACGGGUGAGUAACGCGUGGGAAUCUACCCAUCUCUACGGAAUAACGCAUGGAAACGUGUGCUAAUACCGUAUACGUCCUUCGGGGGAAAGAUUUAUCGGAGAUGGAUGAGCCCGCGUUGGAUUAGCUAGUUGGUGGGGUAAAGGCCUACCAAGGCGACGAUCCAUAGCUGGUCUGAGAGGAUGAUCAGCCACACUGGGACUGAGACACGGCCCAGACUCCUACGGGAGGCAGCAGUGGGGAAUAUUGGACAAUGGGCGCAAGCCUGAUCCAGCCAUGCCGCGUGAGUGAUGAAGGCCCUAGGGUUGUAAAGCUCUUUCACCGGUGAAGAUAAUGACGGUAACCGGAGAAGAAGCCCCGGCUAACUUCGUGCCAGCAGCCGCCGUAAGAC